UACGGGGGGGGUAAGCGUUGUUCGGAAUUACUGGGCGUAAAGGGCUCGCAGGCGGCCGACUAAGUCAGACGUGAAAUCCCUUGGCUUAACCAAGGAAUGGCGUCUGAUACUGGACGGCUUGAAUCCGGGAGAGGGAUGUGGAAUUCCAGGUGUAGCGGUGAAAUGCGUAGAUAUCUGGAGGAACACCGGUGGCGAAGGCGGCAUCCUGGACCGGUAUUGACGCUGAGGAGCGAAAGCCAGGGGAGCAAACGGG
rnacentral:rRNA from 1 species